GGUCAUGCAAAUACUUCAAACCAUGUAAAAUCUGCCUUGUGUAGACGGAUACUUGCGAAUCUCGAAGGUGAUACUUCUGGUAAAGGCUCAACAGAGAUCCUUGUGUAACCAGCUCAAGAAAGAUGUACAAUUUUGAAUCCUUCUGGUAAAGGCUUAACAGAGAUCCUUGUGUAACCAGCUCAAGAAAGAUGUACAAUUUUGAAUCAUCCUGCAAAAAUUUCUACCAGAAGUUGAGCAAAAAGAUUAAGUACAUACAGAAGAUUGAUAUACAAAGUAAAAGAGAUAAGUAUUUUUAAGACAGUUAACUUUAUCCAGUUUAGUCC
rnacentral:lncRNA from 1 species